GCCCGCCUAGCUCAAUCGGCUAGAGCGUCAGACUUUUACGGACAUAUGUUCCUUAUGUCAUCUGAGACAAUCUGAAGGCUGCGAGUUCGACCCUCGCGGUGGGCU